GUCAACGAUCAUACCAUGUUGAAAACACCAGUUCUCGUCCGAUCACUGAAGUUAAGCAACAUCGGGCGCGAUUAGUAUUGCUUUUUUCACUGAAAAUUUUUUUUGCUUCGCUGAAC
rnacentral:rRNA from 2 species